CUUACAUGGAGAUAAGGAGCCUACCUCUGUUAGCCAGGAAUGGCUUGCCUACGCACACAUUUUUCGGUUCAUCACAGGGGCAAAACUAACUUGGAGAUAGCCCCUAGUAUGAUGGACGGAGUGUGGCUGCAUGGUCAAGCCUUCCUGACUAGGAGAGUGCUCCUCAUCCCCCAUGCUAGGCUG